GAUGUACUCCCUCCGUCCCAUAUUAAGUGUCACGAUUUUUUCUAAAUACGCAUGUACCUAUACACUAAAAUCUGUCAAGAUACAUCCGUAUUUAGACAAAUUUGCGACACUUAAUAUGGGACGGAGGUAGUAUUAC
rfam:Brachypodium distachyon strain Bd21 chromosome 1, whole genome shotgun sequence.